rnacentral:miRNA from 1 species
CAAAGCGUUUGGGUUCUGAAAC